UUUUCGACGUCGCCUAAGGAUGGGGCCGCGCCCGAUCAGGUUGUUGGUGGGGUAACGGCUCACCAAGCCUAUAACCGGUACGGGCCGUGAGAGCGGGAGCCCGGAGAUGGGCACUGAGAUAAGGGCCCAGGCCCUACGGGGCGCAGCAGUCGCGCAAACUCUGCAAUGCACGAAAGUGUGACAGGGCUAUCCCGAGUGCCGUCCGCUGAGGACGGCUUUUCCACGCUGUAAGGAGGCGUGGGAAUAAGGAGAGGGCAAGACUGGUGUCAGCCGCCGCGGUAAUACCAGCUCUCCGAGUGGUGGGGAUGCUUAUUGGGCCUAAAGCAUUCGUAGCCGGUUCGGCAAGUCCCCCGUUAAAUCCAGCAAUUCAAUUGUUGGACUGCGGGGGAUACUGCUGGGCUAGGGGGCGGGAGAGGCCGACGGUAUCCUCGGGGUAGGGGUGAAAUCCUAUAAUCCCGGGUAGACCACCAGUGGCGAAGGCUGUCGGCUAGAACGCGCCCGACGGUGAGGGAUGAAAGCUGGGGGAGCGAACCGGAUUAGAUACCCGGGUAGUCCCAGCUGUAAACUAUGCAGGCUAGGUGUUGGGGCGGCUACGAGCCGCUUCGGUGCCGCAGGGGAACUGUUAAGCCUGCCGCCUGGGGAGUACGGCCGCAAGGCUGAAACUUAA
rnacentral:rRNA from 1 species